GACGAACGCUGGCGGCGUGCUUAACACAUGCAAGUCGAACGGAAAGGCCCCUUUUUGGGUACUCGUGUGUCUAACGGUUGAGUAACACGUGAGUAACCUUCCCUUGACUUCUUGUUAACUUCAGUUAACUGGGUCUAAUACCUGUUAUGUAUCCUUUCUUCAUGGUUGGGUUUUUAAAGCUUCUGGGGUUUUGGAUGUACUCGCUGCUUAUCAGCUUGUUUUUGGGGUAGUGGCUUACCAAGGCUUUUACGGGUAGCCGGCCUGAGAGGGGGACCGGCCAAAUUGGGAAUGAGAGACGGCACAGAAUCGUACGGGAGGCAGAAGUGGGGAAGAUUGAAAAAUGGGAGGAAGCCUGAUGCAGCAAAGCCGCGGGCGGGAUGACGGGCUUAGGGUUGAAAAAAGAAUUCAGAAGGGGAGAAGAUUGUGGUGACGGUAACUGAAGAAGAAGCACCGGCUAACUACGUG
rnacentral:rRNA from 1 species